rnacentral:rRNA from 1 species
CCUACGGGGAGCAGCAGUGGGGAAUAUUGGACAAUGGGCGAAAGCCUGAUCCAGCCAUGCCGCGUGUGUGAAGAAGGCCUUCGGGUUGUAAAGCACUUUCAGUGGGGAAGAAAGCCUUGGGGCUAAUACCCUCGAGGAAGGACAUCACCCACAGAAGAAGCACCGGCUAACUCCGUGCCAGCAGCCGCGGUAAUACGGAGGGUGCGAGCGUUAAUCGGAAUUACUGGGCGUAAAGCGCGCGUAGGCGGUCUGAUAAGCCGGUUGUGAAAGCCCCGGGCUCAACCUGGGAACGGCAUCCGGAACUGUCAGGCUAGAGUGCAGGAGAGGAAGGUAGAAUUCCCGGUGUAGCGGUGAAAUGCGUAGAGAUCGGGAGGAAUACCAGUGGCGAAGGCGGCCUUCUGGACUGACACUGACGCUGAGGUGCGAAAGCGUGGGUAGCAAACAGGAUUAGAUACCGAGUAGUC